rnacentral:rRNA from 1 species
GAGUUUGAUCGUGGCUCAGAUUGAACGCUGGCGGCAGGCCUAACACAUGCAAGUCGAGCGGAUGAAGGGAGCUUGCUCCUGGAUUCAGCGGCGGACGGGUGAGUAAUGCCUAGGAAUCUGGCCUGGUAGUGGGGGAUAACGUCCGGAAACGGGACGCUAAUACCGCAUACGUCCUGAGGGAGAAAGUGGGGGAUCUUCGGACCUCACGCUAUCAGAUGAGCCUAGGUCGGAUUAGCUAGUUGGUGGGGUAAAGGCCUACCAAGGCGACGAUCCGUAACUGGUCUGAGAGGAUGAUCAGUCAUACUGGAACUGAGACACGGUCC